CAAAGGUUUGGUCCUGGCCUUACUGUUAAUUUUUAUUAGACCUACACAUGCAAGUUUCCGCAACCCGGUGAGUAUGCCCCCAGGACUAAAUACUGAGUCUUCGGGAGCGGGUAUCAGGCACACUCUCUAGAGUAGCCCAUGACACCUAGUCUAACCACACCCCCAAGGGAUACAGCAGUGACUAACAUUAAGCCAUAAACGAAAGUUUGACUAAAUUAUAAUAAACAAGGGUUGGUCAAUCUCGUGCCAGCCACCGCGGUCAUACGAUUAACCCGAAUUAACAGAUGAACGGCGUAAAGUGUGUUUAAGCAAAACGUCCACCAAAUAAGGUUAAAAGUUAACUGUGCUGUAAUACGCCAUAGUUAACAGUAAAAUACGCAACUUACGUGACUUUACUACCUGCUGAAGACACUAAAGCUAAGGUACAAACUGGGAUUAGAGACCCUACUAUGCUUAGCCAUAAACUGAGGUAGUUUAAUAACGAGACUAUUCGCCAGAGAACUACGAGCCAUCGCUUAAAACUCAAAGGACUUGGCGGUGCCCUAGACCCCCCUAGAGGAGCCUGUUCUAUAAUCGAUAAACCCCGAUACACCUCACCUCUCCUAGCCAAUCAGUCUAUAUACCGCCAUCGUCAGCUCACCCCAACAGGGUCCAAAAGUGAGCAUAAUCAUGAAACCAUAAAAACGUUAGGUCAAGGUGUAGCAUAUGGAGUGGGAAGUAAUGGGCUACAUUUUCUACAUUAGAACACAACGAAGUAUCUAUUGAAAUAAAGAUAUGAAGGAGGAUUUAGCAGUAAAUUAAGAAUAGAGAGCUUAAUUGAAAUUGGCAAUAGGGU
rnacentral:ncRNA from 1 species